GCCGGGAUAGCUCAGUUGGGAGAGCAGCAGACUGAAGCGAGUCACAUGAUCAACAUGUCACGUGUUCUGAAGGUCCCGUGUUCAAUCCACGGUCCUGGCA